ACCCCACCCUUCGAACCGAAACGCAUUACUGCUUCACGGCGGAAAUAGGCGGGGUGGUGGUACCUACCCGUGUAGACUCCCAAGAGGUCCUACCACCAGCUUUGGGAUAGUAGUGUCCAGAUGUUUCGUGGAAGAAAUAGGCAGGUUCCUGGUAUCACACCAUAUCCGCCAAAUUGUGUAAUAAUAAAGAUUUUUAUUUCAAGAAUAAAGUAGAACAAAAUUGUACAUAAUUUAAAUGGAUCAAAAAUGAAAAAAAGAUAGCAAUCGAAAUCAUUAACAUUUUGUUUUUUAAUAAUGCUUUCAAAAUAUUAUAUCAGAGUAAUAAACUUAUUGUAUUCUUAGCGGUCUUUGAUACGUAUGGAAAUUUCUUAUUAUGAAUUUAUUUAGGCUUAAAUUAUACAUAGAGCUAGAGUGUAUCACUUAAAAAAAGCCACAUACUAAGUGUAAUUGUAACUAUACUGAGACUUUAGAACUUAUAUCUUAAGAUUGGCACAUUUACGUUGUAGAUGUCUAUGGGCUCCAGUAACCACUUAAUACUAAGUGAGCUGUGAGCUCGUCUACCCAUCUAAGCAAUAAAAAAAAAGUUUUUUGAACAUACCUCAAUACCUAAUCGCAUUGACCGUCUGACCUUUUUGUUUUGAAAACCGGAAUUGUUUGUUUUAAAAAGGCUUAGGAUAAUGAAGGCGUCGUCCCAACGACAAAACCCGAAAUCAGCUUUCCAACCUCGUCGUUUCGAAGACUAUAAACUUCGCGAUGAAGUCAGGAAACUCGGAUGUAAUUUUAGAUAUCACAUUUUUUACUUUCGUCCGCACUCAAAUAUUUUAUAACUUAUUUGAGGCGUUUAAUUCAUUUAGCUUGGAUCGUUAUUGAGUUUGGAAAAUGAGUUUUCCAAUCAGCUACUUGGACGUGUUUUAAGUGCUUUUCAUCGUGGUAACGAAAGAAAAUAUUGUUUUAGUGUACUCAUGUUUCACUAUAAUAAUACAACUGUUAUGAUUAAAUACUGUGAAUUGGUAUGAAAAUAAGUGUUUUGAGGUUUGAACGCACACAAAACGACAUUUGAAUUUGUGAGGUGACGUCGACUGUAUGAUUUGGUGUCGGGUUCGGCCAUUAUCAGAAAUCGUCGCCUCUUCAAGUUCCUCGGAAACAACCGGCUAGUAGUACUCAACGGAGAAGUCAUUAUUGUAUGGAUUCGCAGAUGGCUAAUUGCCGCUCUUAUUUACAAUCACAUUGUCAAACAUUAGAUCGUUAUCUAUAAAGUUAAAGCUAUUUUUGUAUACAUAUUUUUUUAUUUCUAACAAUAAAAAUAUGCGCCCAUGGAUCAUGCAUCUCUGUCUGAGCCAUGGUGUCUUUCAAAGCCCUUCUUGAAGAAAUCAGGUGUACGGAAGCAAACAAACUCUCCAAAGGUUUGUUCACCGCCUUUCGGGUAUUAAUUUUUUUCGUGUCAAGAAUUUGUCUGAACUGUGGAAAAAGUAGAAGUCUAUCGGUGUAAGGCCAAAGUUUCAACGCUGCCUCUCGUUGUUUAGAGUUUUAGGAACCAUCUGUCAUGCUGCGAGCGUUGUUGUUUAGGACUAUCGCAGCUGGAACGAGCGAUUAACCCAGGUUGGCUAAAGAUUCGCAAGCCUCUCCAUCAUUAUGUCCAGUUCUUCACGGUGCACAUCUACAGUAAUUCUAGUGCUAUUUGGUAAGCAAUGAUGAAUUAUACCCGCAAAAUUAUAAUUUGCGUAAUUACUAGUGGUAGGAUUUCUUGUGAGUCCACGCGGGUAGGUACCACCACCCUGCCUAUUUCUGCCGUGAAGCAGUAAUGCGUUUCGGUUUGAAGGGAGGGGCAGCCGUUGUAACUAUACUUGAGACCUAAGGUCUUAUAUUAUAACUAUAAAUAUAACUUAUAUCUCAAAGUGGGUGGCGCAUUUACGUUGUAGAUGUCUAUGGGGUCCAGUAACUACUUAACACCAGGUGGGCUGUGAGCUCAUCCACACAUCUAAGCAAUAAAAAAAAAUUAAAAAAAAUACCGGCACUAGACCACCAAAAUUAAAUAGUGACUAUAACUUUUUAGGGGUAUUUUUCGUUUGGCACAUGCCUAGGUCCUAAUUCAGGGCUCAAGCAACAUUAUGCCCUCUUAAAAUUAUCAAAAAUAAUCCAUUUUUCAUCACAAGUGACAAUGCUAUUAAAAUCCCUUCGUUUAUGUGUCUAUUAAGCAACGCGAGGCAUACUUUAACGCGAUCCUCGCGCUGGCGCUCACUCAGUUCGUGUGACACCUACUUAUCAAGUUUUUCUUUUACCUUGAUGACCAAUUUGACGCAAAUGGACCAAUAUUAAUAUGAUGCUAUGAAAGCUCCUACUAGGUCAGCGAUACAUUGAGUAUCGUCACCAUUCACUAUCAUUUUUAAUUCAUCGUUGUUGACUUUAGUGUGAUGCCGACCAUGGGGCUCAUUUAAAAAAAAACCGUAUCGAAAGCCUUCAAAUUAAUAACAAGUCAUUCUUUCGUUCAUAUUGGGCACUGGGUUACAUAGCAUUCAUGUUGUGAGCCGCUUAUGAAUUGCUGCAGCGACAAAAUUCGUGUUUCCUUAAUUACUUUUAUUUUUAUCGUGUCUAUACCGACGAAAAACACAAAUGUAGUGAAAACUAAACACUAAUCAAUAAAUAAAUUUUAAAAUAGUUUCAUUCUUUUUUAAAUAAAACUCAUAUGAAUCUUAGAAUUCAUUGCCAGUCAUACAUACAUACGUUACGUUUCAAAUGACCAGUAUUGUGAACCGACAACUUCAUUAGCAACGCCUUAUCACGUGGAAUGAAGUAUACUCAACGGUGGGUUAGUUUAUUAAUUAGUUUACUAUCCUCUGAACUUCAAAAGCUACUCAUUAAUGGUUAUACUAAAAAAAAUAUCUAAUUAAUCAUAAAUUAUGCUGCCUCGUUUAAUUACCCUCAAUAAAAUUCAUUAAAAAUGAAGCACUAUGCAGUAAUUCGGGUAGAUUUAUUAAGCCACAAAAUACAUAAAUAGACUGCGGUUACGUGAUUAUGUCUGGUUUUGGCUUAAUGGAAAUUUUCAAUAUGCCGAGGCGGCCCGAAAAUUAAUUAGCGAACAAGUAAAUUAAUCCUUUCUAUAAAAUUAUUAUUUUGGCACUUGAAACGAAUCCACAAGCUUAAAGCUUAGGUUGACAGUUCGACGUAGGUUGUGAAAGCUAUUUCAAUUCUAUCUGUAAUAUCUGAAACCAUUACAAUACUAAUGCAUAUGAAUAUUAAGGGAUAAGAAAGCACUGAGAGGGAUAUAGUGAUCACCAAGAAUUUAUGACAUAGUUUUAUGUAGAUAAAAACUACACAACGAUUAAAAUCUCUUUUUUUAUAUCAUAGUUAUUGUAUUAAAAAGGGGAUAGUUCGGUUGUAAAAAUACCACUUAUAUAAAAUCAUACAGGCAUACAUAGAUCACGCUUAAUAAUUCGCCCACGAAAGGGAUUUUAGCGAAUAAUCCAAUAGUACCAAAAAAAAAAAACAAUAGCAUCGGUGAAGGAGCACUACAGACUGCCACCGCACUCAUUUCUCUCGCAACCACCUUACGCGUAACACCUGUGUACCUGUAUAUCGUCACAGCCGUUAUUUUAAAAUAUAAUUUAGAAGGAAAAAAAAAGCAUUCAUUUCCUUUGUACACCACCACUGCUUGCCUCCUCUUCCUCGCCAACACAAACCGAGAAACUCAUUUUAAAAUCUUAUGAUUAGAAAAAAUUGUUUCCUGGAGUUUAGUCCUUGAUAUUUCUUCUCUAGCUUGGUUAUGCUAAGCAUACUAUCAAUGAGCUGUCGAACUAGAUUAUUACAAUAAAUUUGACUUUAGGUAUCCUAAAAUAUGGUCAAAUUUCAUUUCAAAACCUAACUUUCGGUAUAAUUUAAGUCCUUCUUCAAACGAGGCUUGUGGAGAGUAUUAAGCGGUAGGCAGCGGCUUGGCUCUGCCCCUGGCAUUGCUGAAGUCCAUGGGCGACGGUAACCACUCACCAUCAGGUGGGCCGUAUGCUCGUCUGCCUACAAGGGCAAUAAAAAAAAAAAAAGUGCAAAACAAAACUUUCGAUAUUGACAUCGUCACUAAACUUAGCUGAAACUUGGGUGUUUCACAGCUUCUACUCAAAAACUUGUAGCAAAGGAUGACGUCAAAAGUUCAAAAGCUCAGUAAACUCUAUGCAAGUAGCUUUCGAAAACUCUAUCUAACUAUAAGCCAGUAUAUUAAGUAAAAUAUUUUGUCCAUUUAUUUUUUUGGAGAAAUCGUAAUUCAAAGAGCAGUGCAUUCUAGAAAAUUUAUUACUGUAAUUUACAAAGUUAUUCGAAUAUUAUUUGCGCACACUGUCACACCUUUUACAGUACAAGCCAGUAUUUUUCUGUGGUUUUAUCAUAACCAAAAAUAUUGUUUGAAAGUGUAGGCUUAGUUAAUAUCAAAUAAAUAUUCAAAAUUAAGAGCUCUCUUCUAGUCUUAUGAAAAAACGCAAAAUCAUGGAAUAUAGAAUUGGUCAUCGAUAGUAUAUAUUGAUUAUCGUUUGCUACAAAUUACAACAAUAACUAAUUUAUGUUGCUAGUAAAUUAUUAUUGCCGAAAUCAUAGCAUCAACCAUUCAAACAAAAUAUUUCUAGCAAUUGUUAAAAUUAAAGAAAGUUCGCUUACAAAAGUAUAAACAGUGUGUAGAUUUGUUAAUUAGUAAUUUAACAAAAUAUAUUAAUUAAGUCCUUACAUAUGAAAUUGGCGUUUUAUACGGGAGGAAAAUAAAGUUUUUUUUUUGUAGAAUAUGUUUAAUUAAUCAAAAUAUGCUCCGUUGUUAUUUAUACACUUUUGCCAUCUCAUAGGUAGUUCAUUGAUCUCUUUACUAAAAAAACUACGGGGGCGAGAAUCCAUAAAUAAAAAAAUUAUGAGGAAAGAACAAAUUAAUAACUGUUUUCAAAACUAGAAUGUAUCAGGUAAAUGAAUUUAUAAAUUUUAAUUUGAAAUUCUUAACCAAAGAGGAGAUAUUCCAGAUCAAAGUGGUCAGUACGACAAAACGCUAAUUUCAUAUGUAAGGACCAUAGAUCUAUAUAGGUAAGAAUUCCUACUUCAGUGGUAAGGACCUAAUAUUAAUGUCAUCGUGACGUUUCUAAUCGAAUUUAAAGAAAUUGUUGUAGCACGAAAUCAUGCGACGUUUUUUUAACAUAAACAAAGUUUUGAAAACGUCAACAUUGCUCAAUUAGUCGUUAAUCUUGUUUGAAAAUCCUCUCAUGGUAGAGCGGAGACCGUGCUCAUAUGAAUAGAGAACGGAUUAAAGUAAGCUCUGUGAUUUACUGUGCUCUAUGCUUUGGAACAGGAUAUGAAAGUGCACUUCUAAUUAUGUUUUUCAGACAGAAUACGAAAAUUCUUGAAAAAAAAGCUUCGGCUGCGUUCAUAUGAUGUUUUUCCUCAAAGCUUGCUUAUAAAUUUUAAGACUAAUUAAGUGUACCUCUCUUAAAUCGUUUAGGUAAUCGAAGUAUGUAAAGUUUAAAAUUAUAAUAAAAAAACGUGCUUCGUGUAAACAAUAAAUUGAAAAUAAAAUGUACUCUUAAUUUUUUCAUAUUCUUUCAAUUAACUAUCGCGUCGAACAUUUAAAUAUGUAGUUAUAGAUGAGUAAGCAAUUACACCUAUCAAGCCACCCUUGAACUAGGACGUGUAGGCUAAGAGGGUACGUUCCGAAGGCGGCUUUUACUUAGCACAAAACAGACAUAUCUCAGUCUUUGUCUAUAGGCCUAUAACCUCCACUUCGGCUACUUGAGGGACGAUAAAGAGAGAUUACUAGGUCAUAUCAAACAACUUCUUUUAGUUUACCCCAUGAAAUACACAGUUUAUUUCCCAAAAAAACACUCUGUGAUUAUUUACACAAUACAAAAAUACGCAAAUUAUGAACCUUAUAUAAGUGUAUAUCAAUCACCUUUGACCCUUGAAUAGAUAUGGUUUGAUGAUUAAGCUUGUUUCUUUUUCUAAACCGUCACAAAAAGGGGUCACGUUUAAGCGCAUUUGUUUAAAGCUUAAUUAAUCCUCUCAACAAACGGAUUAAAAAGCCAGCGGUCACGUGAUGACUGUACUGUUUUUGUACUGUAUGUAAAUUGUAGAGUAUGAUAGAAAUAGAGCAGAAAUCAUAGAUAGAUUAAAUAAUUAAUAAUUAAAUAAGUCUUAAGAUAAAAUAAUGUGUGUCCUGUAUCUAAGUGCUUUGAUUAUUUGAAACUAUGUUAGUAAAAUUAUAUAAAUUAUAAUUAUAGUUUAAAAUACUCUAAAUUGUUUAUUAUUCUGGAACGCUAUCCAUUGCGUAAAAAAACACUCGCGGUUCAGCUAUGGCUCGCUGAUGUCCACGAGCAUUAUUAAAUACACAACAUCAGAUGUGGAGCGUAUUUGUCUAUGAAAAAUCGGUAAGCUGAUUCUGACCCAGCGGGGUGUCAUGGAAGACCAGCGGUGAAGAUCGAGAGACGCAAGGGAAGCUCAGCCUACCCAAAAAAAAAAAAAAAGUUUUUGACUUAAUAAACAUAAACUAACUCUGAAAGGUUUCUUAUUUAUCUGUCCCAUCUCUAAAGCAUGCAAGAUUUAAUUAAAAACCGUUUUUAACGCGCAACAACCAUCGGCUUGGAGCAUAAAUAAUUACAUAUUACCGCGUACACAGACUCAGAGACCAUUGAAACCCCAUUAACUACGCUCUUAUUCAUUUCCAUUCAACGAAGGUAGCUAUUUUCCCAUGUAAUAUCUCUUUAUAUACCCGUUGACAGGUCGAGAGGCUAGUGAAAGCGUGUCUGUAAACAUUUUUGAGGUCACCCAAAGGUGUUUGCGUGUUAGCCCAGUUCCGACUUUCGACCUUAUGUUAAUAAACGUUGUAAACUUCUUAAAUUAUGUUCUUUUUUAUCUAUUGCUUAGAUGUGUGGACGAGCUCACAGCCCACUUGGUGUUUAGUGGUUACUGGAGCUCAUAGACAUCUACAAACCUAAAUGCGCCACACACCUUGAGAUAUAAGUUCUAAGGUCUCGGUAUAGUUACAACGGCUGCCCCGCCCUUCAAACCGAAACGCAUUACUGCUUCACGGCACAAAUAGGCAGGGUGGUGGUACCUACCCGCGCGGACUCACAAGAGGUCCUACCACCAGUUCGUAGUUUAGAUAGUAUUAAGUUGCGCGUUCGAGGGUAGUUUUUUAAAAUUUCAUUGCGAAUCUGAUUAGCAAAUAGCCCACUCACUAUCUUGAUGAUAACCUUGUCUAUUACUGCUUAGUUGGUGCUGAUCUGAAGGACAAGAACUCCGCUACUGUAAAGGCACUGAAAGAAUAACUUAACGUCAGCAAUAUGAGUGCGUGUUACGAGCAACGACGUCGACCGUGACGUCAUCAUUCACUCACCUACAGCAUUAAGAUCUUCAUUAAGGCAUUAAUUAAUUAAUUAAUUCACUUAAAUAAAAUUUUAGACGUAUUUGUUAUCUCGUCUUGAAAAUAAAUCCUUGACAUCACAUGUAUCAUAAUAAUAUAUUGUCAAUAGUAAAUUUACUUAGUGUAUAUUGUUAGCGUGCCAUUUUGUCAUGUUGUCACUAGUUAAAACUGAGCAUCUAUAUAUUAAUACGUGAAGCAAAAACUUUGUAUCCCUUUUUCUUCGGAUUCCUUUUUACGAAAAUUGCGCGGACGAAGGAGUAUGAAAUUUCCCACACGUAUAGAAAAUAUAGAGAAGUAGUGCAGAAUGUUAAAAUUGUUUUUAAUUAUGCAUUAAUGAUACAUUAAAUCAAUAAAAAAAACAUUACGCACACUAACAACUAUUUGACAAAUACACGCAUAAGUUUAUUGUCAAACUUUUAUUAUUGUUUAUAGUCUGUGGUCAAAUUGAGAAUAGAUUAAUAUUGUUUGUCUUUAAUAUUAAUUGUCUAUAGUGUGGUCUUGGCGGAAUAUGUGAUUAUAGAAGUUUAAUUAAUAGUCUUUUACAAUAGAGCCAUAGUAAUGUACAAACUUAUAUUUUCAAUUAAUUACAGUUGAAUGUCGGCUACUGCGGGGCCACUAGUUAUAUUAAAUAUGCGAAUAUCGAUACAGUUGCAUACAUCGCACGAUACAAUUUCAUCGGGUAUCUUUGACGCCACAACGACUUCAAUCUGCGCGUAUGAUGAUUUUAUUUAAUGAGUAGUAGGUACAUAAUUGAGUUAGUUGUGAGCUCAUACGUGUGUAUUAAUGCCUAACGUGAACUCAUAAUACACGAACAAAUCAACAUGCAAAACAAACGUGCCAAUAUAAAACUGUUUACCAUAUUUAUUUAUUUAUUUAUUAAGUUACACCAACAAAAUGAUCAUCAAUACAAAACAUUGAACAAUUGACAAAAGUUCAUGGCAGAUGUCACCUCAAUUAUAGGUGCAAUCGACAGAGCAUUAACAUAAAAAAAAAAUAUACAGCUAAGAUUUACCAUAUCAAUGUAUUACUCAUUAAUUAUUCGAAUUCAGGUAUAGAACAGCGAAUCCAUUUCUUUUCUGAUUCGACUAUUCGUAUAGUAUUAGUAAGCUAAGAUAGACAGUGAACUUAGCGCUUGCCAUUGACACUAUAAUGUUUACUAGAGAUCCCGCAGUAGUCGAAAUUCGACUAUAAUUAAUUGGAAUUGUAAGUUUGUACACUAUUAUGAUUGUAUUUUAUACUUCUAUAAUCACAAAUUUCGCCAAGACUACACUAUUACAAAUAUUAACAAAGGCAAACAAUAUUUAAUCUAUUCUCAAUUUGACAACAGACGUCAAGAACAAAAGUUUGACAAUAAAUAGUAUGCUUGCGUGUGUGCGUCAAAUACAUGUCUCAUCGUGAUGGACAUUGACAUUUUUUAAGGUUGAAGCCACGGAUGCCACUUACUGUUGAAUUAAAUUACCAAACGGACCUGAAUUAUAAACUAUGAUUUCAUUUGCCUAUUCACACUCCAUUUUCAUUUACAACGGGAUCUGUUGGUUUAGCUGUAGUGAAAGAACAUGAUUGUUAAGAUAAGAUAAGAUAAGAAAGGGUCGUCUUACCCCCUUACGGGGGCACAGAACGGGCCUCGGGGUGAACCCACUACCCGGGCAGAAGCUCCCUGUCAUGAAAGGCAGGGGUGAACUGAUGCAGGGGGAAUCGAGGGGGGAAGAGCUAUUUGCAGCGUGUCCGGCUGCAUUGUACAUUGAAAUACCGGCUUUAAUCGAAAUAGACUUUCUGGGAAUGAAGGAAAAUCACAAAAGGGAAUACUGAAAAGUUCAGAAUCAUUUCUUAACAAAAAGUAGAUUUUAUAUUGUUUUGCUUUUCGGAGCCUACACGAAAUUUUCUAUUCUUAAUAAAUAAAAAUACAAAAAAAAUAA